AGUCCAUGUUGUGGGUACUUCUUUAGCAUAGUCUUGAGACGUUCUCAUGCCUUAUACAAGGACUCACCUUCGUAUGGUUUAAAAUUGGCGAUUUCUUACCUAAGUUG
rfam:Gossypium hirsutum cultivar TM-1 chromosome 4, whole genome shotgun sequence